rnacentral:rRNA from 1 species
AUUGAACGCUGGCGGCAUGCUUUACACAUGCAAGUCGAACGGUAACAGGCCUUCGGGUGCUGACGAGUGGCGAACGGGUGAGUAAUGCAUCGGAACGUACCCAGAGGUGGGGGAUAACGCAGCGAAAGCUGUGCUAAUACCGCAUGUGAUCUGAGGAUGAAAGCGGGGGACCGAGCAGCAAUGUUUGGCCUCGCGCCUUUGGAGCGGCCGAUGUCGGAUUAGCUAGUUGGUGGGGUAAAGGCCUACCAAGGCGACGAUCCGUAGCUGGUCUGAGAGGACGACCAGCCACACUGGGACUGGGACACGGCCCAGACUCCUACGGGAGGCAGCAGUGGGGAAUUUUGGACCAUGGGCGCAAGCCUGAUCCAGCAAUGCCGCGUGCGGGAAGAAGGCCUUCGGGUUGUAAACCGCUUUUGGCAGGAACGAAACGGUGUCCGCUAAUACCGGGCGCUAAUGACGGUACCUGCAGAAUAAGCACCGGCUAACUACGUG